rnacentral:lncRNA from 10 species
ACAAAGGUGAGACCCUGUCUCAAAAGGAAAGAAAGAAAAAGGUGGAGGACUGCAGAGGGGCUGCAGGAAUCGGAAGGGCGUCGGCAGAGGGCACGGAAGGAGGCGGCGGGUUAGAGACGGAGCUCUCCAGUUCGAGCCCCUCCAUGGAGCAACGUGGUCCGGUGGGCCUUGUGCCCCGCGGCCACUAGGGGGCAGCAUCGUCCACAGGGUCCUGGAGCGGACGCGCUGUCGGGGCUGAGGCACCCAGAGCUCC